GACGUAGGUGGCGAACGUUAUCCGGAAUUAUUGGGCGUAAAGGGUGCGUAGAUGGCUUGACAAGUUAGUGGUAGGAAAUCGAGGCUCAACCUCGUGGAAGUCACUAAUACUAUCAAACUAGAGUGCAGGAGAGGUUAAUGGAACUCCAUGUGUAGCGGUAAAAUGCGACGAUAUAUGGAUGAACACCAAUAAAGGCGAAGGCAGUUAACUAUUCUGCUACUGACAUUGAGGGCACGAAAGCGUGGGGAGCAAAACGG
rnacentral:rRNA from 1 species